UGGGGAAUAUUGGACAAUGGGCGAAAGCCUGAUCCAGCAAUGCCGCGUGAGUGAUGAAGGCCUUAGGGUUGUAAAGCUCUUUUACCCGGGAUGAUAAUGACAGUACCGGGAGAAUAAGCUCCGGCUAACUCCGUGCCAGCAGCCGCGGUAAUACGGAGGGAGCUAGCGUUGUUCGGAAUUACUGGGCGUAAAGCGCACGUAGGCGGCUUUGUAAGUUAGAGGUGAAAGCCUGGAGCUUAACUCCAGAAUUGCCUUUAAGACUGCAUCGCUUGAAUCCGGGAGAGGUGAGUGGAAUUCCGAGUGUAGAGGUGAAAUUCGUAGAUAUUCGGAAGAACACCAGUGGCGAAGGCGGCUCACUGGACCGGUAUUGACGCUGAGGUGCGAAAGCGUGGGGAGCAAACA
rnacentral:rRNA from 1 species